rnacentral:rRNA from 1 species
AUGGCUGUCUCCGCGCGCAGCGCGGCCUUCGCCACGGCAGCCUCCUUGGCCGUGUACUGGCUCCUUACAUCGUUCCUCCACGCACCGCACCCCGCGCUGCUGCCGGCAGCGGCCGCCCUCGUCGCCGUCGCCAUCGCAGCGGGAGCGGGUCGGAAGCGUGGCGGCGCCGGCGCCCCUCCCGGCCCCGCGGCCGUGCCGGUGUUCGGCAACUGGCUGCAGGUGGGCAACGACCUCAACCACCGCUUCCUAGCGCGGCUGUCGGCGCGGUACGGCCCCGUGUUCCGGCUGCGGCUGGGCGUGCGUAACCUGGUGGUGGUGUCAGACCCUCAGCUGGCCACGGAGGUGCUCCACACGCAGGGCGUGGAGUUCGGCUCCCGCCCGCGGAACGUCGUGUUCGACAUCUUCACGGCCAACGGCGCCGACAUGGUCUUCACCGAGUACGGCGACCACUGGCGCCGCAUGCGCCGCGUCAUGACGCUGCCCUUCUUCACGGCGCGGGUCGUGCAGCAGUACCGCUCCAUGUGGGAGGCCGAGAUGGACGACGUGGUGUCCGACCUGCGCGGCGACUCCGCCGCCCGCGGGGCCGGCGUCGUGGUGCGCCGCCGGCUGCAGCUCAUGCUCUACAACAUCAUGUACCGCAUGAUGUUCGACGCCCGGUUCGAGUCCGUGGACGACCCAAUGUUCGUGGAGGCCACCAAGUUCAACUCGGAGCGCAGCCGCCUGGCGCAGAGCUUCGACUACAACUACGGCGACUUCAUCCCCAUCCUCAGGCCCUUCCUGCGUGGCUACCUCAACAAGUGCAGGGACCUGCAGACCAGGAGGCUGGCCUUCUUCAACGCCAACUACGUCGAGAAGAGAAGGAAGGUGAUGGACACACCAGGAGACAAAAACAAGCUCCGAUGCGCGAUCGACCACAUCCUCGCAGCAGAGAAGAGCGGCGAGAUCACGCCGGAGAACGUGAUCUACAUCGUGGAGAACAUCAACGUUGCCGCCAUCGAGACGACGCUAUGGUCCAUCGAAUGGGCGCUCGCCGAGGUGGUGAACCACCCGGAAGUGCAGCGCAAGGUCCGCGGCGAGAUCAGGGACGUGCUCGGCGACGACGAGCCCAUCACCGAGUCCAAUAUCAGCAAGCUGCCGUACCUGCAGGCCGUGAUCAAGGAGACGCUGCGGCUGCACUCCCCGAUCCCGCUCCUCGUCCCCCACAUGAACCUGGAGGAGGCCAGCCUCGGCGGCUACACCAUUCCCAAGGGCUCCAAGGUGGUGGUCAACGCCUGGUGGCUGGCCAACAACCCGGAGCUAUGGGAGAAGCCGGAGGAAUUCAGGCCGGAGAGGUUCUUGGGCGAGGAGAGCAACGUGGACACCACGGUCGGCGGCGGCAAGGUGGACUUCCGGUUCCUCCCGUUCGGCGUGGGCCGGCGAAGCUGCCCCGGCAUCAUCCUGGCGCUGCCCAUCCUGGCGCUCAUCGUGGGGAAGCUGGUGAGGAGCUUCGAGAUGGUGCCCCCGCCAGGCGUGGACAAGCUCGACGUGAGCGAGAAAGGCGGGCAGUUCAGCCUGCACAUCGCCAACCAUUCCGUCGUCGCCUUCCACCCCAUCGUCUCACCAUGA